AAUGUCGUAACAAGGUUUCCGUAGGUGAACCUGCGGAAGGAUCAUUAUUGAAUUGUGAAUGGGGCUUGAUGCUGGCUUGUCCAUCCUUUGGCUGCAUGUGCUCGCCCCAGCAAUCCUUUUCCAAACACCUGGUCGCUCAUCCAUUUCCUUGGUAGGAUGAAUCGGGAGAGAAAUUGGGCUUGCCUCUUUUAUCUCGUCUCAUGAAUUCAUAAACGUCUAGUUUGAUAAUGUUGAAUGCCAUUUAUGCGUCAAGGCUUUAACCUAAUACAA
rnacentral:misc_RNA from 1 species